rnacentral:rRNA from 1 species
AUUGAACGCUGGCGGCAUGCCUUACACAUGCAAGUCGAACGGCAGCACGGGUGCUUGCACCUGGUGGCGAGUGGCGAACGGGUGAGUAAUACAUCGGAACAUGUCCUGUAGUGGGGGAUAGCCCGGCGAAAGCCGGAUUAAUACCGCAUACGAUCCACGGAUGAAAGCGGGGGACCUUCGGGCCUCGCGCUAUAGGGUUGGCCGAUGGCUGAUUAGCUAGUUGGUGGGGUAGAGGCCUACCAAGGCGACGAUCAGUAGCUGGUCUGAGAGGACGACCAGCCACACUGGGACUGAGACACGGCCCAGACUCCUACGGGAGGCAGCAGUGGGGAAUUUUGGACAAUGGGCGAAAGCCUGAUCCAGCAAUGCCGCGUGUGUGAAGAAGGCCUUCGGGUUGUAAAGCACUUUUGUCCGGAAAGAAAUCCUUGACUCUAAUACAGUCGGGGGAUGACGGUACCGGAAGAAUAAGCACCGGCUAACUACGUG